CCCUCCAUGAAUGAGGAACACGACGUGAUUAUGCUGGGAACCAGCCUGAUGGAAUGCAUCCUGUCAGGUAUAAUGUCAGUGAAUGGCAAGAAGGUUAUUCACAUGGAUCAGAACCCAUAUUACGGAGGAGAAAGUGCAUCUAUAACACCUCUGGAAGAUUUAUACGAAAGAUUUAAAAUACCAAGAUCACCACCAGUAUCAAUGGAGAGGGGAAGAGACUGGAAUGUUGACUUGAUUCCCAAGUUCCUUAUGGCCAAUGGUUAGCUGGUUAAGAUGCUGCUUUAUACCGAGGUCAUCUGCUAUCUGGAUUUUAAAGUGAAUGAAGGGAGCUUUGUCUAUAAGGGUGGAAAAAUCUACAAGGUUCCGUCCACUGAAGCAGAAGCUCUGGCAUCUAGCCUAACGGGACUGUUUGAAAAACGCCACUUCAGGAAAUUCCUAGUGUACAUUGCCAACUUCGAUGAAAAAGAUACCAGAACCCUUGAGGGUGUUGAUCUAAACAAGACUACAAUGCUAGAUGUGUAUAAGAAAUUUGACUUGGGUCAAGAUGUUAUAGACUUCACUGGUCAUGCUCUUGCACUUUACAGAACUGAUGACUACUUAGAUCAACCGUGUUGUGAAACUAUUAAUAGGAUUAAACUUUACAGUGAGUCUUUGGCAAGAUAUGGCAAAAGCCCUUACCUUUACCCAUUGUAUGGCCUUAGAGAACUGCCAUGGGGGUUUGCAAGGUUAAGUGCUAUUUACGGAGGUACCUACAUGCUGAAUAAACCAAUUGAAGAAAUCAUUGUACAGGAUGGAAAAGUGGUUGGUGUAAAGUCUGAAGGAGAGAUUGCUCACUGUAAGCAGCUCAUCUGUGACCCCAGCUAUGUAAAAGAUAGGGUAGAAAAGGUGGGCCAGGUGAUCAGAGUUAUUUGCAUCCUCAGCGACCCCAUCAAGAACACCAAUGAUGCCAACUCCUGCCAGAUCAUUAUUCCACAGAACCAGGUCAAUCGAAAGUCAGAUAUCUAUGUCUACAUGAUUUCCUUUGCACACAAUGUGGUGGCACAAGGGAAGUACAUCACC